rnacentral:rRNA from 1 species
UUAAGCGACUAAGCGUACACGGUGGAUGCCCUGGCAGUCAGAGGCGAUGAAGGACGUGCUAAUCUGCGAUAAGCGUCGGUAAGGUGAUAUGAACCGUUAUAACCGGCGAUUUCCGAAUGGGGAAACCCAGUGUGAUUCGUCACACUAUCAUUAACUGAAUCCAUAGGUUAAUGAGGCGAACCGGGGGAACUGAAACAUCUAAGUACCCCGAGGAAAAGAAAUCAACCGAGAUUCCCCCAGUAGCGGCGAGCGAACGGGGAGGAGCCCAGAGCCUGAAUCAGUGUGUGUGUUAGUGGAAGCGUCUGGAAAGGCGCGCGAUACAGGGUGACAGCCCCGUACACAAAAAUGCACAUGCUGUGAGCUCGAUGAGUAGGGCGGGACACGUGGUAUCCUGUCUGAAUAUGGGGGGACCAUCCUCCAAGGCUAAAUACUCCUGACUGACCGAUAGUGAACCAGUACCGUGAGGGAAAGGCGAAAAGAACCCCGGCGAGGGGAGUGAAAAAGAACCUGAAACCGUGUACGUACAAGCAGUGGGAGCACAGAGCAAUCUGUGUGACUGCGUACCUUUUGUAUAAUGGGUCAGCGACUUAUAUUCUGUAGCAAGGUUAACCGAAUAGGGGAGCCGAAGGGAAACCGAGUCUUAACUGGGCGUUAAGUUGCAGGGUAUAGACCCGAAACCCGGUGAUCUAGCCAUGGGCAGGUUGAAGGUUGGGUAACACUAACUGGAGGACCGAACCGACUAAUGUUGAAAAAUUAGCGGAUGACUUGUGGCUGGGGGUGAAAGGCCAAUCAAACCGGGAGAUAGCUGGUUCUCCCCGAAAGCUAUUUAGGUAGCGCCUCGUGAAUUCAUCUCCGGGGGUAGAGCACUGUUUCGGCAAGGGGGUCAUCCCGACUUACCAACCCGAUGCAAACUGCGAAUACCGGAGAAUGUUAUCACGGGAGACACACGGCGGGUGCUAACGUCCGUCGUGAAGAGGGAAACAACCCAGACCGCCAGCUAAGGUCCCAAAGUCAUGGUUAAGUGGGAAACGAUGUGGGAAGGCCCAGACAGCCAGGAUGUUGGCUUAGAAGCAGCCAUCAUUUAAAGAAAGCGUAAUAGCUCACUGGUCGAGUCGGCCUGCGCGGAAGAUGUAACGGGGCUAAACCAUGCACCGAAGCUGCGGCAGCGACACUGUGUGUUGUUGGGUAGGGGAGCGUUCUGUAAGCCUGUGAAGGUGUGCUGUGAGGCAUGCUGGAGGUAUCAGAAGUGCGAAUGCUGACAUAAGUAAACGAUAAAGCGGGUGAAUAGCCCGCUCGCCGGAAGACCAAGGGUUCCUGUCCAACGUUAAUCGGGGCAGGGUGAGUCGACCCCUAAGGCGAGGCCGAGAGGCGUAGUCGAUGGGAAACAGGUUAAUAUUCCUGUACUUGGUGUUACUGCGAAGGGGGGACGGAGAAGGCUAUGUUGGCCGGGCGACGGUUGUCCCGGUUUAAGCGUGUAGGCUGGUUUUCCAGGCAAAUCCGGAAAAUCAAGGCUGAGGCGUGAUGACGAGGCACUACGGUGCUGAAGCAACAAAUGCCCUGCUUCCAGGAAAAGCCUCUAAGCAUCAGGUAACAUCAAAUCGUACCCCAAACCGACACAGGUGGUCAGGUAGAGAAUACCAAGGCGCUUGAGAGAACUCGGGUGAAGGAACUAGGCAAAAUGGUGCCGUAACUUCGGGAGAAGGCACGCUGAUAUGUAGGUGAAGUCCCUCGCGGAUGGAGCUGAAAUCAGUCGAAGAUACCAGCUGGCUGCAACUGUUUAUUAAAAACACAGCACUGUGCAAACACGAAAGUGGACGUAUACGGUGUGACGCCUGCCCGGUGCCGGAAGGUUAAUUGAUGGGGUCAGCGCAAGCGAAGCUCUUGAUCGAAGCCCCGGUAAACGGCGGCCGUAACUAUAACGGUCCUAAGGUAGCGAAAUUCCUUGUCGGGUAAGUUCCGACCUGCACGAAUGGCGUAAUGAUGGCCAGGCUGUCUCCACCCGAGACUCAGUGAAAUUGAACUCGCUGUGAAGAUGCAGUGUACCCGCGGCAAGACGGAAAGACCCCGUGAACCUUUACUAUAGCUUGACACUGAACAUUGAGCCUUGAUGUGUAGGAUAGGUGGGAGGCUUUGAAGUGUGGACGCCAGUCUGCAUGGAGCCGACCUUGAAAUACCACCCUUUAAUGUUUGAUGUUCUAACGUGGACCCGUGAUCCGGGUUGCGGACAGUGUCUGGUGGGUAGUUUGACUGGGGCGGUCUCCUCCUAAAGAGUAACGGAGGAGCACGAAGGUUGGCUAAUCCUGGUCGGACAUCAGGAGGUUAGUGCAAUGGCAUAAGCCAGCUUGACUGCGAGCGUGACGGCGCGAGCAGGUGCGAAAGCAGGUCAUAGUGAUCCGGUGGUUCUGAAUGGAAGGGCCAUCGCUCAACGGAUAAAAGGUACUCCGGGGAUAACAGGCUGAUACCGCCCAAGAGUUCAUAUCGACGGCGGUGUUUGGCACCUCGAUGUCGGCUCAUCACAUCCUGGGGCUGAAGUAGGUCCCAAGGGUAUGGCUGUUCGCCAUUUAAAGUGGUACGCGAGCUGGGUUUAGAACGUCGUGAGACAGUUCGGUCCCUAUCUGCCGUGGGCGCUGGAGAACUGAGGGGGGCUGCUCCUAGUACGAGAGGACCGGAGUGGACGCAUCACUGGUGUUCGGGUUGUCAUGCCAAUGGCACUGCCCGGUAGCUAAAUGCGGAAGAGAUAAGUGCUGAAAGCAUCUAAGCACGAAACUUGCCCCGAGAUGAGUUCUCCCUGACCCUUUAAGGGUCCUGAAGGAACGUUGAAGACGACGACGUUGAUAGGCCGGGUGUGUAAGCGCAGCGAUGCGUUGAGCUAACCGGUACUAAUGAACCGUGAGGCUUAACCUU